rnacentral:rRNA from 1 species
AUUGAACGCUGGCGGCAUGCUUUACACAUGCAAGUCGAACGGUAACAGGCCGCAAGGUGCUGACGAGUGGCAAACGGGUGAGUAAUGCAUCGGAACGUGCCCAGUCGUGGGGGAUAACUACUCGAAAGAGUAGCUAAUACCGCAUACGAUCUAUGGAUGAAAGCGGGGGACCGUAAGGCCUCGCGCGAUUGGAGCGGCCGAUGUCAGAUUAGGUAGUUGGUGGGGUAAAGGCUCACCAAGCCAACGAUCUGUAGCUGGUCUGAGAGGACGACCAGCCACACUGGGACUGAGACACGGCCCAGACUCCUACGGGAGGCAGCAGUGGGGAAUCUUGGACAAUGGGCGCAAGCCUGAUCCAGCAAUGCCGCGUGCAGGAAGAAGGCCUUCGGGUUGUAAACUGCUUUUGUACGGAACGAAACGGCUCUGGUUAAUACCCGGGGCUAAUGACGGUACCGUAAGAAUAAGCACCGGCUAACUACGUG